CUGAUCGCAAAGUAAAAAUAAACACGAAUUAAGAUUAACGAAUUGAGUCAAAGUUCUUAGGUUAAAUAAAAAUGGAGAAUGAAUCGGACAUUCAUGCACUUUUGAACUACAGCCUCCAGUCACCAUUGCUGAAACUACAAUGCAUGGUGAAGUUUCGAGAAGAAAUGAAGUGAGAGAUCUUAUAUGCCAUGAAAUACAAACACAUCGACAAAGCUUAUAAUUGAUCAAAUCAAAAAUUACAAAAUAUCAUUUAGCAUGAAAAAUUUAUUUAAAAAAAUCACCGUACACAAUGAGCAACAUACAUACAUGUGUAACUAAAAAUUUUCUGAAUUCAAUUACAAAAACAAUAUGUCCUAAAGAGUGGGUUGAAAAACCAAACAACUACAAUCAAUAACAAAAAUAAAGAAUGAAAAUCAA